rnacentral:rRNA from 1 species
UGCAACGCCGGGUAGCGAUGGCAGGCGGGGAUAACCGCUGAACGCAUCUAAGUGGGAAGCCCCCCCCAAGAUGAACUCUCCCGGAGCUUCGAGCUCCCUAAAGGGCCGUGAGAGACCAUCACGUCGAUAGGCCGCACGUGGACGGGGCGCAAACCCCUCCGAGCGCAGCGGUCCUAAUCGCCCGUGCGGCUUGACUACUCCCAAGUAGUUG